rnacentral:tRNA from 1 species
AUGUAAGCUCUUUGGGGCCUGCUAGCUACCCUAUGGCUAAACAGUCUUUUAGGUU